GCAUAUCAAUAAGCGGAGGAAAAGAAAAUAACAAUGAUUCCCUUAGUAACGGCGAGUGAAGGGGGAUAAGCUCAAAUUUUAAAUCUGGCUAGGUUUUACCUAUCAGAGUUGUAUUUUGAAGAAGCGUUUUCCGCGUCUCGGUUGGCCCAAGUCCUUUGGGAUAAGGUAUCAUGGAGGGUGAGAAUCCCGUUCGGUUGACCUUAUGACGCUUUACGAUGCGCUUUCAAAGAGUCGAGUUGUUUGGGAUUGCAGCUCAAAAUGGGAGGUAAAUUUCUCCUAAGGCUAAAUAUCGGCGAGAGACCGAUAGCGAACAAGUACCGUGAGGGAAAGAUGAAAAGAACUUUGAAAAGAGAGUAAAAUAGUACGUGAAAUUGUUGAAAGGGAAACGAUUGAAGUCAGUCGUACCGACGAGAAAUCAGCUCUUCGAGUGCGAAGUUGUGGGCGUGUGAGAGUCUUUAACCGGGCCUCGCUGUUUGCAAUUUUGUGCUUUUUGGGUGUACUUUUUCGUAUGGUAGGCCAACGUCAGUUUUGAUUACCGUAAAAUGAUCGGAGGAAUGUAGCUUCGAUCUCGUAUUGAAGUGUUAUAGCCUCUGGUAGAUGCGGUGACCGAAACUGAGGAUUGCAACGAAUACCCUUCUGGGCUAUCCGUCUGGCCUCUGAAAGUUGCUUAGGUGCCGAAAGCGUGCUUACGGCUAUUUAAGUUGACGGUCAACAGGUUAGAACGUGAUUACAUUCGUUAAGGACGUUGACGUAAUGGCUUUAAACGAC
rnacentral:rRNA from 1 species